UACAACAUAACACUAAUGCACUGGAUCCUAUUAGAACUAUGCAGUUAAGCACGCUCAAGAUAAAGUAGUAUUGGGAUGAGUGACCUCCCAGGAAGUCCUAGUGUUUUAC
rnacentral:rRNA from 1 species